GACGAACGCUGGCGGCGUGCCUAAUACAUACAAGUUGAGCGCUGAAGGUUGGUACUUGUACCAACUGGAUGAGCAGCGAACGGGUGAGUAACGCGUGGGGAAUCUGCCUUUGAGCGGGGGACAACAUUUGGAAACGAAUGCUAAUACCGCAUAAAAACUUUAAACACAAGUUUUAAGUUUGAAAGAUGCAAUUGCAUCAUUCAAAGAUGAUCCCGCGUUGUAUUAGCUAGUUGGUGAGGUAAAGGCUCACCAAGGCGAUGAUACAUAGCCGACCUGAGAGGGUGAUCGGCCACAUUGGGACUGAGACACGGCCCAAACUCCUACGGGAGGCAGCAGUAGGGAAUCUUCGGCAAUGGACGAAAGUCUGACCGAGCAACGCCGCGUGAGUGAAGAAGGUUGUCGGAUCGUAAAACUCUGUUGGUAGAGAAGAACGUUGGUGAGAGUGGAAAGCUCAUCAAGUGACGGUAACUACCCAGAAAGGGACGGCUAACUACGUG
rnacentral:rRNA from 1 species